rnacentral:rRNA from 1 species
UACGUAGGGUGCAAGCGUUGUCCGGAAUUAUUGGGCGUAAAGAGCUCGUAGGCGGUUCGGCAAGUCAGCUGUGAAAUCUCCACGCUCAACGUGGAGGGGUCAGCUGAUACUGCUGUGACUUGAGUCCGGUAGGGGAGUGUGGAAUUCCCGGUGUAGCGGUGAAAUGCGCAGAUAUCGGGAGGAACACCAGUAGCGAAGGCGGCACUCUGGGCCGGUACUGACGCUGAGGAGCGAAAGCGUGGGGAGCAAACAGG